UGCCAAUAGAUUUACACUCUGC
rnacentral:siRNA from 1 species